rnacentral:lncRNA from 1 species
UUCAUCAGAACCCCCAGUUAUCCUGUGGUUGCCCUGUGUCAUGGAGAUAUUGCAGAUUUGGAAUAGCAGGACCAGCACUUUCACACAUAAGAAUGAUUUGCAGGUGGUAUAUUUUGGGGUGGACCAAUUCUGAGCCCUUGAUCUGGACCUGGAUGGUAGCAGAGCUGGUACUGAUCUAUUGUCUGCCUGAAUAUCAACAUGCUCUCGGCCAUGAUGAUAAUGAACUAAACUUCUGAAGCCGAAAAAAAGUCCCCAAUUAAAUGCCUUUUUUAUACAGGUGCACAGAAUGCUUUAGGGACUCUGAGGAGGAUUGUGGGUGAUAAAAUCACUGAAAUCUGCUAUUUCCCAGUUGAUUCCAAGACUCCAUGCCUGGACCAGGCACCAAAAGCCAAAGCCUUUAACUUGGGAAGAGGAAACUAUUGGAAGGGAAGCAGCUAAGACAGACGAGGGAGAAAGGAGUGUCUUCAGCAUUGGAGGUUGGUCUACAUAAAGGGCAGCUGGCUGAGUUCUAAUCAUGUGCUGUUGUCAAGGAAACAGAACCUCCAGAAUAUUUUGAGGGGUACUGCCCUCUACUGUGAACUUUAAUGAAGAGAAGAGUCUAGAGGACCAAGGGAUGUGUUCACUUUAAACCUACUGUGGCUUCCCUGAAAGGGGCACUGAAGAAGUGAGUGUCUGUUAGUUCUACAGUAGUAAGGAAGCCAACUCUGCCAACAGUCAUAUGAAACCGGAAGCAGACCCUGAGCCCUACAUGAGACUGCAGUCCUGGCCAACAUAGUGACACCAUCUAGCAAGACAGAGACUAUGAGGUGAUGAAUACAUUAUCAACUGCUGUAUUUGUGGAAUGCUCUGGAACAGAGGGUCGAAAGGGCCAGUUUAUGUUUAGACACCAUGGUGCUGAUAUAGGUAUCUGGUAACAUGACUGACACUGGACAAACCAGAAGACUAAGUCAAAACAAAAUGGUUGACUCUGGAAACCCCAAAGCAAACAGAUAAAAUGUAUUAUGUUUUGGGCAA